AGAACGAACGCUGGCGGCAGGCUUAACACAUGCAAGUCGAGCGCCCCGCAAGGGGAGCGGCAGACGGGUGAGUAACACGUGGGAACGUACCCUUUACUACGGAAUAACGCAUGGAAACGUGUGCUAAUACCGUAUGUGCCCUUUGGGGGAAAGAUUUAUCGGUAAAGGAUCGGCCCGCGUUGGAUUAGCUAGUUGGUGGGUAAAGGCCUACCAAGGCGACGAUCCAUAGCUGGUCUGAGAGGAUGAUCAGCCACAUUGGGACUGAGACACGGCCCAAACUCCUACGGGAGGCAGCAGUGGGGAAUAUUGGACAAUGGGCGCAAGCCUGAUCCAGCCAUGCCGCGUGAGUGAUGAAGGCCCUAGGGUUGUAAAGCUCUUUCACCGGAGAAGAUAAUGACGGUAUCCGGAGAAGAAGCCCCGGCUAACUUCGCGCCAGCAGCCGC
rnacentral:rRNA from 1 species